AUCCAGCUGACGAGUCUCAAAUAGGACGAAACGCGCGUGCUGGAU
rfam:Schistosoma rodhaini strain Burundi genome assembly, scaffold: SROB_scaffold0003901